AGCGGGCCAAAGCAACAUGUUGAAGUCGCACAGGGAGCAACAGUUCAGAUGCAGUCCUCAGCUGCCAGAUUCUGGCCUUUUCUUUCUGCUGUGACCCCCUGCAGUCAACACCAGUGAAAUCUCCAGCACUCUGCUUCAUGAAGGCAGCACUUUGGUUGUCUUCUUCAUAGCAGCAUCCCAGGGCCUCCGGGGUGCCUGGACAUCCGAGGUCCUGUCAGCCGCCCUGUGACUGGACUGUCCAGCCCUACGUGGUAGACUCCUCACAAAGUAAAGAUGAAAAUACUGAAGUCCAGAGACUUUGAACCUGCAGCCUGGAAUGGUUUCCAUCUAGCCUCACCUCCAGCCUGGACAUCCCUUCCUGAGGGACUCCAACCUCACCAAGCCCUCUUUCUGGCACCAGCAUUCCCACCUUCCCCCCACUGAAGUCCCAUGUCUGUCCCCUGUGCUGGCUGCAUUGUGGUCUCUCCAGACCAAGAGAAUGUCUGCUUGCCCUAGUGCUCAGGAUAGAGCUGCUCCACACUAGGGCUCCACCCAGGCAUGUUAAAUAAAAGGAAGCUGACCCGCUCCAGUGAUCACUUGCUUAGAAGCAGCUCUGGCCAUGGACUUGGUAAAAAGAAAUCAUUGUUUGUCCUACGGGGUCCCCUGCUUUUCUUGCUCUUGUCUCUCCUGCUUCUGCUCUUGUAGCUUGCACAAGAAAUUGUUCUGCUAGCAAUUUCUGGGGCUCACCCCACUCUUGAAGCUGGGGAGGGAGGUCACCUCAGGACUACCAUUGUCUUUCCUGUUGCUCCUGUGGCUGCCUGUCUGUAAUUCCACUGGACUAGUGAUACUGAGAUCUCUGAGAAAAUACACUCUGUCUUGGUUU